GUGCUCACUUUAGCAACACAUAGUAAAAUUGGAACAAUACAAAGGAGAUUAGCAUAAACUCUGUGCAAGAAUGAUGUCCAAAUUCAUGAAGCAUUCCAAUUAAAA
rfam:Canis lupus familiaris chromosome 15, whole genome shotgun sequence.